GACGUAGGAUGCGAGCGUUGUCCGGAUUUAUUGGGCGUAAAGAGUUCGUAGGUGGUUUGUUAAGUCUGAUGUUAAAGACUGAGGCUCAACCUCGGGAGUGCAUUGGAUACUGGCAGACUGGAGUGUAGUAGAGGCAAGCGGAAUUCCCAGUGUAGCGGUGAAAUGCGUAGAUAUUGGGAAGAACACCAGUGGCGUAAGCGGCUUGCUGGGCUAUAACUGACACUGAGGAACGAAAGCCAGGGGAGCAAAUGGG
rnacentral:rRNA from 1 species